AUGCUCAAAAUUCUCCAAGCCAGGCUUCAGCAGUAUGUGAACUGUGAACUUCCAGAUGUUCAAGCUGGUUUUAGAAAAGGCAGAAAAACCAGAGAUCAAAUUGCCAACAUCUGCUGGCUCAUGGAAAAAGCAAGAGAGUUCCAGAAAAACAUCCAGUUCUGCUUUAUUGACUAUGCCAAAGCCUUUGACUGUGUGGAUCACAAUAAACUGUGGAAAAUUCUGAAAGAGAUGGGAAUAUCAGACCACCUGACCUGCCUCUUGAGAAACCUAUAUGCAGGUCAGGAAGCAACAGUUAGAACUGGACAUGGAACAACAGACUGGAUCCAAACAGGAAAAGGAAUACGUCAAAGCUGUAUAUUGUCACCCUGCUUAUUUAACUUCUAUGCAGAGUACAUCAUGAGAAACCCUGGGCUGGAAGAAGCACAAGCUGGAAUUAAGAUUGCCGGGAGAAAUAUCAAUAACCUCAGAUAUACAGAUGACACCACCCUUAUGGCAGAAAGUGAGGAGGAACUAAAGAGCCUCUUGAUGAAAGUGAAAGAGGAGAGUGAAAAAGUUGGCUUAAAGCUCAACAUUCAGAAAACGAAGAUCAUGGCAUCUGGUCCCAUCACUUCAUGGGAAAUAGAUGGGGAAACAGUGGAAACGGUGUCAGACUUUAUUUUGGGGGGCUCCAAAAUCACUGCAGAUGGUGACUGCAGCCAUGAAAUUAAAAGACGCUUACUCCUUAGAAGAAAAGUUAUGACCAACCUAGAUAGCAUAUUCAAAAGCAGAGACAUUACUUUACCAACAAAGGUCUGUCUAGUCAAGGAUAUGGUUUUUCCAGUAGUCACUUAUGGAUGUGAGAGUUGGACUGUGAAGAAAGCUGAGCACAGAAGAAUUGAUGCUUUUGAAGUGUGGUGUUGGAGAAGACUCUUGAGAGUCCCUUGGACUGCAAGGAGAUCCAAUCAGUCCAUUCUAAAGGAGAUCAGUCCUGGGUGUUUUUUGGAAGGAAUGAUGCUAAAGCUGAAACUCCAGUACUUUGGCCACCUCAUGUGA
rnacentral:lncRNA from 1 species